rnacentral:rRNA from 1 species
UACGAAGGGUCCAAGCGUUGUUCGGAAUGACUGGGCGUAAAGGGCGCGUAGGCGGCCGCUUGCGUCGGAUGUGAAAGCCCGGGGCUCAACCCCGGAACGGCAUCCGAUACGGGGCGGCUCGAGACCGAGAGAGGUGAGUGGAAAACCCAGUGUAGAGGUGAAAUUCGUAGAUAUUGGGUGGAACACCGGUGGCGAAAGCGGCUCACUGGCUCGGUUCUGACGCUGAGGCGCGAAAGCGUGGGGAGCAAACAGG